rnacentral:rRNA from 1 species
GACGAACGCUGGCGGCGUGCCUAAUACAUGCAAGUCGAGCGCAGGAAACUGACGGAACUCUUCGGAGGGAAGGCAGUGGAAUGAGCGGCGGACGGGUGAGUAACACGUAAGGAACCUGCCUCAAGGAUUGGGAUAACUCCGAGAAAUCGGAGCUAAUACCGGAUAGUUCAACGGACCGCAUGGUCCGCUGAUGAAAGGCGCUCCGGCGUCACCUUGAGAUGGCCUUGCGGUGCAUUAGCUAGUUGGUGGGGUAACGGCCCACCAAGGCGACGAUGCAUAGCCGACCUGAGAGGGUGAUCGGCCACACUGGGACUGAGACACGGCCCAGACUCCUACGGGAGGCAGCAGUAGGGAAUCUUCCACAAUGGACGAAAGUCUGAUGGAGCAACGCCGCGUGAGUGAUGAAGGUUUUCGGAUCGUAAAACUCUGUUGUAAGGGAAGAACACGUACGAGAGGGAAUGCUCGUACCUUGACGGUACCUUACGAGAAAGCCACGGCUAACUACGUGCCAGCCGCCGCUGUAAAAC